AGAUUGAACGCUGGCGGCAGGCCUAACACAUGCAAGUCGAGCGGCAGCACGGGUACUUGUACCUGGUGGCGAGCGGCGGACGGGUGAGUAAUGCCUAGGAAUCUGCCUGAUAGUGGGGGAUAACGCUCGGAAACGGACGCUAAUACCGCAUACGUCCUACGGGAGAAAGCAGGGGACCUUCGGGCCUUGCGCUAUCAGAUGAGCCUAGGUCGGAUUAGCUAGUUGGUGGGGUAAUGGCUCACCAAGGCGACGAUCCGUAACUGGUCUGAGAGGAUGAUCAGUCACACUGGAACUGAGACACGGUCCAGACUCCUACGGGAGGCAGCAGUGGGGAAUAUUGGACAAUGGGCGAAAGCCUGAUCCAGCCAUGCCGCGUGUGUGAAGAAGUCUUCGGAUUGUAAAGCACUUUAAGUGGAGGAAGGCAGUUACUAAUACGUAUCUGUUUUGACGUUACGACAGAAUAAGCACCGGCUAACUCUGU
rnacentral:rRNA from 1 species